rnacentral:tRNA from 1 species
GCCCCGGUGGCGGAAUUGGUAGACGCGUCGGUCUCAAAAACCGAUGAACGAGAGUUCGUGCCGGUUCGAUUCCGGCCCGGGGUA